CGCAGGGCGGCGCGGCGGGGCGGCAGGCGGAGGCGUUGGCGGCGAAGGGCGCCUCCAGGGCGCCGGCGAGGAGCGGCGCGGAGCCGUUGCCCAGCAGUUUGUUGCAGAUGAGCACAGAGAUACAUCUCCUAGAGUGUCUGCCAGUUCAUCAUUAAUUAGUAGAACCAAGCUCUUCUACUGUCUCAUCAAUGAAAUCAAAGGAAGAAAAGAAAGGUGCAGAUGAAAACUUGGACCACAAAGAGGAUUGGCAGCAAGCCCUGGGAGCUAAGCCUGUUUAAGACAGGCCUCAUUAGACAAAAUUUCAAAGAGAAAACAAAGUCUGAAUCAUUCCCAUUGAUAUAUCUUAUGGAACGACAUUUCCGAAAAGGGCAAAUGAUGCAUAUGAAGUGGAAAACUAUUGAAAUUUACUGAAGAUACAGAAUGGAGCACAGCACAAAGAAGAAACAGAAUAUCAUACAGAGAAUUUUGGAUGACCCUAAAGACUAGAGUACUCGA